UACGAAGGGGGCUAGCGUUGCUCGGAAUCACUGGGCGUAAAGCGCACGUAGGCGGCUUCUCAAGUCAGGGGUGAAAUCCUGGAGCUCAACUCCAGAACUGCCUUUGAUACUGAGGGGCUCGAGUCCGGGAGAGGUGAGUGGAACUGCGAGUGUAGAGGUGAAAUUCGUAGAUAUUCGCAAGAACACCAGUGGCGAGGGCGGCUCACUGGCCCGGUACUGACGCUGAGGUGCGAAAGCGUGGGGAGCAAACAGG
rnacentral:rRNA from 1 species